UACUUGGAGAUUUCAUUGAUGAAGGUACUAGAACCUGCAUCGGUAUCAUCAUCUUCUUGUUCUUCUGCCUAUUCUCAAAC
rnacentral:sRNA from 1 species